UGCCCGGGUAGGCGAAGGCGACACCUUCGCAGCGGACGGCGGCGUCGAAGCGGACGGGCUCGGCCGCUUCGGGUUCGGGCUCCGGCGCGGCGGC
rnacentral:tRNA from 1 species